AACGCACAUUGCACUCUUUGGUAACCCGAAGAGUAUGCCUGUUUCAGAUAUAAGUCACUAUGAACUCCGAGGGGGUGUUUGCCAACUCAGUUUUCAUGACUUGAACUUUCCAGACUCAUUACGCGUCUGGUGGUUUAAAAUAAAAGCAUGGACGGUCUUCUUGACUCAUCCGCACGCAAAAGUGUAAUACGAGCUGUCAAAGGCUUCAUUCACUUCUUGCUAGGACGUCAGAUGUAUCGAUUUAAUCCAUGGUCGCAGGAAAUCUGGGGACUACGCAAGUAGGACCUAUCCAUAGCGGCAUCUGAAAUCAGGUAGGACUACCCGCUGAACUUAA
rnacentral:misc_RNA from 1 species